rnacentral:lncRNA from 1 species
UGGGUACCUGCGUCUGCAUCAUAAAACGAUGCAGGCCAACUGGCAUCAGUACAUGGAAUGUACGAGUAUGCGAGCUGGAAAUACUAAACCACAACUUAAGAUUUAAGGGAGCACAAGAGAACACUUACCUUGACUUUGAACGACUCAUGAAUAACCGAACUCAAUGUAAAGCAAUAAGACACAUGCAAUACAUAUAAAGCUUGUAAACAAUGUAAACAACUUAGUUUGUGAAGGAUAAAACGACAACAAACUCAACUUUACUUAUAUGGAAGAAAUAUAGCUUUUGUGGGAGGUUCUUUAACCGACAACCACCACUACGAGCCUUAGUGAUGAUACAACGUUUUACCUUACGUUGCCAAAGGACCAUCCUAUACCUUGCCAUCGAUAUAGGACCUUACUUUAACUUUUGCUUAAUGGAUCCACUAGCUUAACUUUCGUGAUCAUCUAAAAAGUAUGACCCGAGAAGUCCCAUGUUUGGCUACAUGGUUCUUAUGGAGAGUUGAGUUAAUAUGAACUCGUGUCCCCAAUUCGGUGCUCAAUACUACUCCCAAAAAUACUUUGGCUCAUGCUUUUAAAAUAACUUCUUUCUUUAGUUUGAGAUAAUUACUCAAAGCUUAGCCCAAAGGCUCUUUUGGAAAACACGGUUCCUUUCUUACUUAAAUGUAAAACAUUUAAAAACUUCUUUGGGAAGUACAUAGUUCCCUAAUAACUUUGGAGAAAUGGACUCGACUCAUUACUCAUUACUUUACUUGAACCCUUUACUUUUGACUUGACUUGAAACUCUUAACUUAACUUAAGACUUGAUACUCUUAACUCGACUUGAGACUUGAAACGACGUUAAGACGUUCAAUAACGACUCUUGAAAAGCUUUAACGACUUGCCUUGACUUGCUUAACUUCUAAGCUUGGCGCUAACAUCACUUGACUUGGAAUCUAAUUUUCUUGAAUUGAAUUAUGGAUUCAAGGACUUGAUUGGUGUUUGGAAGGACCUCAUGAUGUUUAGGAAUGAUUUAGAAAUGAUUUGGGAUAGCCAAACUUAAGAAAAUCUNNNNN